CCUACGGGAGGCAGCAGUGAGGAAUAUUGGUCAAUGGACGAGAGUCUGAACCAGCCAAGUAGCGUGAAGGAUGACUGCCCUAUGGGUUGUAAACUUCUUUUAUAUGGGAAUAAAAUGUUCCACGUGUGGGAUUUUGUAUGUACCAUAUGAAUAAGGAUCGGCUAACUCCGUGCCAGCAGCCGCGGUAAUACGGAGGAUCCGAGCGUUAUCCGGAUUUAUUGGGUUUAAAGGGAGCGUAGGUGGAAUGUUAAGUCAGUUGUGAAAGUUUGCGGCUCAACCGUAAAAUUGCAGUUGAAACUGGCAGUCUUGAGUACAGUAGAGGUGGGCGGAAUUCGUGGUGUAGCGGUGAAAUGCUUAGAUAGCACGAAGAACUCCGAUUGCGAAGGCAGUUCACUGGACUGCAACUGACACUGAGGCUCGAAAGUGUGGGUAUCAAACAGGAUUAGAUACCCCAGUAGUC
rnacentral:rRNA from 1 species